AUUGAACGCUGGCGGCAUGCUUUACACAUGCAAGUCGAACGGUAACAGGGAGCUUGCUCCGCUGACGAGUGGCGAACGGGUGAGUAAUAUAUCGGAACGUACCCAAGAGUGGGGGAUAACGUAGCGAAAGUUACGCUAAUACCGCAUACGAUCUAUGGAUGAAAGCAGGGGACCUUCGGGCCUUGUGCUCCUGGAGCGGCCGAUAUCUGAUUAGCUAGUUGGUGAGGUAAAGGCUCACCAAGGCGACGAUCAGUAGCUGGUCUGAGAGGACGACCAGCCACACUGGAACUGAGACACGGUCCAGACUCCUACGGGAGGCAGCAGUGGGGAAUUUUGGACAAUGGGCGCAAGCCUGAUCCAGCAAUGCCGCGUGAGUGAAGAAGGCCUUCGGGUUGUAAAGCUCUUUUGUCAGGGAAGAAACGGCUGUGGCUAAUAUCCACGGCUAAUGACGGUACCUGAAGAAUAAGCACCGGCUAACUACGUGCCAGCAGCCGCCGUAAGAC
rnacentral:rRNA from 1 species